GCAGGUGUGGCGGCACAUGCCUGUAGUCCCAGCUACUGGGGUGGCUGAGGUGGGAGCAUGGCUUGAGUCCAGGAGUUCUGGGCUGUAGUGCGCUGUGCGGAUCGGGUGUCUGCACUUAACGUUCGGCAUCAAUAUGGUGACCUCCCGGGAGUGGGGGACCACCAGGUUGCCUAAGGAGGGGUGAACCGGCCCAGGUCGGAAAAGGAGCAGGUCAAAACUCCCGUGCUGAUCAGUAGUGGGAUCGAGCCUGUGAAUAGCCACUGCACUCCAGCCUGGGCAACAUAGUGAGACCCCAUCUCU
rnacentral:SRP_RNA from 1 species